UUAAAAUAUUAUAAUUUUAUAUACUUUGAAUUAGUGCAAUCUAUGAGAACAAAUGAACAAUGAAGUAUGGUUUUUCUUACACCAGGCAGCUUAAUACUAGAUACUGCAUGAUGUUCUGUUUGUAGAGAGAAGAUAAAACCAAAAAAAAAAAAAAAAAAAAACAGAGGAAACACUUUGAACUUGUCAUAGUAAUGUGUGAGAUUCAUCGUCAAUCCAAGCGAGAAGUGAUUUGUUGGAAGACAUCUUCACUGCAAGGAAUUGUUAGACCUCCCAUAGGAUGAUCAUAUCCGAAUUCUUCCUCCGCUUGGCUCAACAAGUCUUGGAUUGAAGGUUGGUUCAGGUAUGAAAUGGGGAUCACAAACCGCUUCUGUUUCUCUCCGACAUACACUGCUAAACGCCCCUUUGGGACUUCCACAGAUUUAGAAGUUGCUUGGCUAGCUGAGAAUGAUGAUGUCCUUCGAAUAACAGGAAAUUGGUUUGAAGAUCCUAGCAACUAUAUAUACACCACUUCUUGUGUUCUGAAGCAACACCAAUCAUUCACAUAUCCUCAAGUAUUACAAGUUUUAGAAAAACUCAAAUAUUUCUU